rnacentral:rRNA from 1 species
AUUGAACGCUGGCGGCAUGCCUUACACAUGCAAGUCGGACGGCAGCACGGGAGCAAUCCUGGUGGCGAGUGGCGAACGGGUGAGUAAUAUAUCGGAACGUGCCCAGUCGUGGGGAUAACGUAGCGAAAGCUACGCUAAUACCGCAUACGAUCUAUGGAUGAAAGCGGGGGAUCGCAAGACCUCGCGCGAUUGGAGCGGCCGAUAUCAGAUUAGGUAGUUGGUGAGGUAAAGGCUCACCAAGCCGACGAUCUGUAGCUGGUCUGAGAGGACGACCAGCCACACUGGGACUGAGACACGGCCCAGACUCCUACGGGAGGCAGCAGUGGGAAUUUUGGACAAUGGGCGCAAGCCUGAUCCAGCAAUGCCGCGUGCAGGAUGAAGGCCUUCGGGUU